GGCGCCACCAUUUAAGUUAUGCACUGUCAGAUGAUGCCCGAAUGGAUAUGGAGGCAUUUGUACAUGCACUGGAAUUGGAACCACAGAAGGAGAAAGAUGCAUAACUGAAAGAGGUAGAACAGCCAUUAAAAGAAGACAAAAGAGAGGAUUUGGAAAACACUGAGGCCCCGAUCCCUCCCUGAAGGUGGAUCCGUCCAACAGGGACAAGAAGCCCCCUUUACCUCCC